GUCAUAGAUAGUUCCCCUUUUUGUGGAUGUUUGGAAAAGUUUGUACCUAAAUAUCCACAGCAAUGGGAAAAGGGAGAUUGGUCAGAAGGGUGUGUUCGGAGGAAACCAUAUCAUUGCAACAAGGAACAUGUAUUUCUUAAAUAUUCUAGAAUCAAGUUGUCAGAUAUUAAGCACUCUCAGUACGAUAAAACCACGACACUUGAAGGGUGUAGGCAAUUAGUAUGCUCAAGGAACUGCUCUUGCACAGCUUAUUCGAGCCUAGAUAUAAGCAAUGGAGAUAAAGGUUGCUUGUUUUGGUUUGGGGAGUUGAUUGAUAUCAGAAAGAGCUCUGGAAGAGGACAAGACAUCUAUAUCAGGAUGGAUUCUUCAGAGCUAGGUAAGAACUUAAGUUAAAGAAAUUUUUAAUGAUGUGUUUUUAAACUUAGUUUUUGAACAUAAGGAGGCCUUAUGCAAAAAUAGUGGCCUAUCUCGAUUUGAAGUGGUUGAUUGAAAAAUGGUUUUAUUAUCUGAGGCAGGUUCAAAUAAAAAGAAGGCAAAGAUACUCGCGGUGAGUUUCUCAUUGUUGAUGGCAAUGACUCUACUAGGCCUGAUUCUGUUGUUGUACAUAAGGAAGAAAAAGAAACUAAAACUCUAAGAAGAUUUUGAGCUUCCACUGAUCCAAUUGUCAACAAUAACAAGUACCGCAAAUAACUUUUCGGUUAACAACAAGAUUGGAGAUGGUGGAUUUGGACCUGUUUACAAGGGAAUGCUGGAAGAGGGACAAGAAAUUGCCGUGAAGAGUCUGUCAAGGACUUCCAUGCAAGGACUUGAUGAAUUCAAGAAUGAUGUUAUCUAUAUUGCCAAGCUUCAGCAUAGAAAUCUUGUGAGACUUCUAGGUUGCUUCAUUCAAGGGGAAGAAAAGAUGUUAUAUCUAUGAAUACAUGCCUACCAAAAGCCUGGAUUCCUACUCAUAAGUGGGUAUUUUACCAACUUAUUUCUUCUUUAAUCUUAGAUUGUUUCUAUGUUUUGAUUGAGAAAAUAGUGCAUUUAAUGUCAUUUACUUCCAUUUUAUAUGUUUAUAUGAUUUAGAAGAGCGUCGGAAGAAACCAAGUGAAAAUAAAGUCAAAAAGAGGCCAAACUGGACUGUCCAGUGCAAAAAGGAGACAGUUUUGCAAAUCUGAAAACUUGGGGCUUAUUUUGUUAUUUUUGGACUUGGAAAAAGUUGGGAACUACAAAAGCAAGACAUGGGGCAAACAUUUAUCAUCUUUGGCCAUAUUUGCAAGCUUGGAGAGCUAGGGUUUUUGCAUCCACACGUGGGGAUUGAAGAUUUGAAGAUCUUGAUAAGAAAUUUCUUAAUCCUUUACUCAUUUCUUUAAUUCCUUGCUUUGUAUUGACUAUUUAAGUGUGUAGUUUUUCAUUUCAAUGCUUGAAACCUGUUUAUGAAAAUAUACAUUAUUAAAGUUUGGAUUGAAGCUCUUGUUAUGCUUAUGUAUUGAAUGAUUUUUAUUUCUAAUGAAGUGAGUUAAUGUGAUUUUAAAUAAUCUUGUUCUUUCAUAUUUCUUAAGGGAUUAGGUAACCCUAGGACCCGCCCAUCUACUUCGAUUUGAGCUCGAGAGAGGAAGAUUGAGGUUGGAAAAGAUUAGUUAACAAGAAUUUGGGGCUUUAAAACCCAUCUAAUAACUUGAGCUAGAUAGGAAAGUUACUUGAGAUUAUAUUGAUUGUGCUUAAUAUCACACUCUAAGGCUUGAGAAAGCUUAGAGUGAAAUUCAUUGAUUUGGUCGAGAGACUUUUGAUGAGAUUUUAGAGAUCAUUGUCUAAUUAGCGUAAACUCACUCAUAGUUGUAAAAUCGUGAAAUACAUUGGAUCGUUACUUGAGCGUAAUUUCCCUUGUAUCCAUACUUGUGGCCACUGAUCAUUUUACCCGUUUUCUAGUUAGUUUUAUCUUUGUUAGUUGUUAAAACAAAAAUCAAAUAUUGAAAAAGUAUUUUGCUUAGCGUAGUUGGUAAUAAUUCCUUACUUGUUUAAAUCGCCUAGUAUAUUGCUCCCUGUAGGAUCGACCCCGACUCAUAGUUAAAUUAUAUUGCAUACGACUGUGUAUGCUUUCUCUUUGUGGAGUGGAUUUGGACGUUAUCACCUACAUAUUUGGUUUGAAUUUCUAACCUACUACACAAGCUAAAAUGAGUAAUACUUUGAUCUAUUAGUCAAAACAUGAAUUUAGAUCAAGGCAAACCAUGUUUUGAAAAAUUGCUAACAAGAAAGCUUUUUUUUAAGAUCAAACAAAGAAAAAGUUACUAGAUUGGCCAAAGUGCUUUGACAUCAUAAACGGAAUUGCUUGCGGCUUAUUGUAUCUCCAUCAAGAUUCUAGACUAAGGAUUAUCCAUAGAGACCUUAAAGCAAGCAAUGUUUUGCAAGAUGUGUCGCAAGAAAUGAGAUGGGAGCAAAAACACGCCAUGUGGUUGGGACACAUGGCUACAUGUCCCCUGAAUAUGCAGUACAUGGGAUUUUCUCAAGAAAUCAGAUAUGUCUAGCUUUGGUGUAUUAGUGUUAGAGAUUGCGAGUUGCAAGAGAAGAGGGGAUUUGUCCAUCAAGAUCACAACCUUAACCUUCUCGGUCAUGUUAGCACUCUUUACAAAGAAGAUAGGUCCUUGGAACUAACUAAUGAGCAACUAGCUGAAUCUUGCCAUAUUUCUCAAGUUUUGAGGUCAACCGAAGUGGGUCUAUUAUCUCUGCAACAAUGCCAGACGAUAGGCCAAACAUGUCGUUUGUGGUUCAGAUGUUGACUAGUGAGAGUCUAUUGCCAGAAGCUAAAGAACCAGGCUUUUUCGCAGAAAGAAUGGUACUUGAUGCAGAAAGCUCAAGAUUGCAGACAGGAAGUUCAAACAAUGAAGUAACAAUCACAUCGUUAGAUCCUCGUAGAGUACUGUGAACGAGAUAACCGUUAAACAUGUAGCUAGAAAAUGGUACAAAAUUGUUACCUUAAUUUAAACAGCUAUUUACCUAAACAUGAUUUGCUUCUGCAUUUGUUAAUGAGAUAUAUAUAUAACUGAAUUUUGAUAAGUAUCUUAGAAAGAAAUGUAACUAGCUUCGGGUAAGCAAAAUGUCCAAAUUAGCCCCAAGAAUUAUGUAAAAUUGUUUAACUACAUAUGCCUUCCGAAAGAGGUAAUCCUAUUGCUCAUACGGGACUUCAUUUUCCAAUAGAACGGACAGAAUCCUCGUUAGCAUUCACCAUUAUCCAUGUUAGCGGACACAGAGGAAAAGAAAGACCACAUUUCUUUCGUCCCUGACCAUCAAAUUGAACUGGAAAAACCGAACCAAAAAAAAAAAUAUUGUACCAAACCAUUGGUUCAGUUUACUAAUGUAAAAAAAUGAAAACCGAAAACCCAACGGAAUUGACCAACGAUCAGCCAUAUUCAGCCAUGAAAAUACUCAUCUUCAACCCAAACAUACUUGCGUGAAACAAAAAUGACAUUGGAGCAGAAUAACAAGUAAAGGGAAAAUUGCAUUACCUGUUCAUAAUAGCAAAAAGAAUCGUCGAAUAUCUGCACGGCAGACUCCUUCAACUUGUCGUUGAGAUCAAAGGUGCACAUUUGGGCUUCCCAUUCAUUUUUUUGUGCGGAUUUUCCUUCAAACACACUGGUGUUAAUUUUUGGCCCUCAAAUUGGUGGUCUUAAAUUUUUGGCCUUCGUCUAAUAAUCCGAGGUUCUGGG